AUGUGUAGAACCAGCGAGAGAACUGCAAGUCAGCUCAAGAAACUGCAGGGACAAGGUGAAACACACAGCAACCAAGCCCAAGUCAAUUACGCAGCUAGAGGAGGACAUAAGAAGCACAUAAAAGAUGUAAAGCACAAACAGAAAAAGUUUACAGCACAGCCACCAAAAUAUCCAAAGAAGGCAGAUUUCAGAUGCAAAUACUGUGGUGGAAAACAUGAGCGAGGAAGAGAGAAGUGUCCGGCAUACAAACAGGUUUGCGGCAAGUGCAACAAGAAAAAUCACUUUGCAUCAGUGUGUCUGAGUUCUAACUCAACUGUUCUUCAGCUCGAUGAUGAAACUGAUGACAGUUGUGACAGUAGUGAUUGCGAAGCGUGUUAUACUGUGAAGACGACACAUGGAAAGCAGUGGUUCGCAAAAGUCAACAUGGCAAUUGAUGAUGCAACUCGUCAAGAUGUGAUCUGUCAACUAGACUCGGGAUCAACAUGCAACAUCCUUGGAUUUCGGCAGUACUGCAUUCUUACUCAGAAUGGUUGUCCGCUAUUGAAACCAACAGCCAAAGCUCUACGUCUAUAUGGUGGAAAGUCAAAGCUCGAACCCCUAGGAACUGUUGACAUCCCCUGCUCAGUACAAAACAAUACCGAAUGUCUGAACUUUUACAUAGUUGAUACAGAUCAGACUGCAUUACUUUCGGCUGAAGCAUGUGAACUCCUAGGACUGUUAACUGUGAAUACUGUGAACAGUGUUGACAUACCUACCAAUUGCAAAGACAGUUAUGAGCCACUCACACGCAAGACCUGUGAACCUCUGCGACGUCUCACAGACAAAGGAGCCCUUUGGUCGUGGCAGUCACAACAGGAAGAAGCGUUUCAGAGCGUAAAACGCCUUGUGAGUCGUCAACCAGUACUGAAGGUACAAAUUGAGAUAGAUGGGCAAUACUGUCUGCUUGAUGAGAGUCUGGCUACCGUUUUUCUUUCAGAAGAUGGUGAUCCGGAGACAAAGAGGGCCAUUAGGGAGGCACUUUCAACUAGUCACAAGAAUUCCACUUCCCUAGAUACAUCAACUUCUUCUGGAGCAUCAACUUCGCGUGUAUUUGAGACCAUCCCUUCUUGCUCAGCGUCAUCAGAAUCUGCAUCAUCUGGCCAUUCUACACCCUCCAGUUCUGACUCGCAGAACACAAUGCAUGUUUGGAAGGAAAAGCAGUUCAGUGAGGUGUAUGGCAAUAAGGCCUCCACAAAGGUAGCUGUGUCCUUUGACACAGGACGCUCCAGGGAUAAACUUAAAAUCAAUACAGAAUUGGACAAGGAUGAAGAUGUAUCAGCUGCUCCUGAAGAAGAAGAAGAUAAGCAGUCUACAUCAAGUGACACAGGUUCCAAAUCCACAACUCGUGCUAAAACUACGAAAUUAAAAUCAACAAAACGCAAGAUAUCCGAAAGCACCAAAUUAAUUGAGAAUAUCCAGGAACAAAACAGGGAACUUAUGAACUCCAUGAAAACACAACAUGAAGACAAAAUGCGAUGCAUUGAUCGAAUGCUCGAAAUGUUGGAAAAGUCUUUGGACAAAUAAUUAACUCCACAAUGUACACA
rnacentral:misc_RNA from 1 species